CUGCAAUCUGAAGUAUCCUACCUCUCUGCUGAAGCAAAUUUAGCUCCAAGAAUAUGUACUCUGUGUUCUUGUGCCACAUUUAAAAGCAGCAUUCAGAUCAGCUGUUUUGGUUCUUUUGUAUUGCAUGGGAGCAAUGGACAAGCCACAAGCAAAAUUUACAAGGGAGUUGCAGUUGCAGAUCACCUUGGCAACAUCAAGACCAUAUCAGUCCAAGGGAAAAUAUAAUGAACACAAAUGAGUGAGUGCUCAGCUACAGUUUCAGACAAAUGGCUGAAUUUUCCAGGUUUUCUGUUCAGUGAACAAAUUACCACAUGGAG